CAUGCAAGUCGAGGGGAAACGACAUCGAAAGCUUGCUUUUGAUGGGCGUCGACCGGCGCACGGGUGAGUAACGCGUAUCCAACCUGCCCACCACUUGGGGAUAACCUUGCGAAAGUAAGACUAAUACCCAAUGACGUCUCUAGAAGACAUCUGAAGGAGAUUAAAGAUUUAUCGGUGAUGGAUGGGGAUGCGUCUGAUUAGCUUGUUGGCGGGGUAACGGCCCACCAAGGCGACGAUCAGUAGGGGUUCUGAGAGGAAGGUCCCCCACAUUGGAACUGAGACACGGUCCAAACUCCUACGGGAGGCAGCAGUGAGGAAUAUUGGUCAAUGGACGAGAGUCUGAACCAGCCAAGUAGCGUGCAGGAUGACGGCCCUAUGGGUUGUAAACUGCUUUUAUAAGGGAAUAAAGUGAGUCUCGUGGGACUUUUUGCAUGUACCUUAUGAAUAAGGACCGGCUAAUUCCGUGCCAGCAGCCGCGGUAAUACGGAAGGUCCGGGCGUUAUCCGGAUUUAUUGGGUUUAAAGGGAGCGUAGGCCGGAGAUUAAGCGUGUUGUGAAAUGUAGAUGCUCAACAUCUGCACUGCAGCGCGAACUGGUUUCCUUGAGUACGCACAAAGUGGGCGGAAUUCGUGGUGUAGCGGUGAAAUGCUUAGAUAUCACGAAGAACUCCGAUUGCGAAGGCAGCUCACUGGAGCGCAACUGACGCUGAAGCUCGAAAGUGCGGGUAUCGAACAGGAUUAGAUACCCUGGUAGUCCGCACGGUAAACGAUGGAUGCCCGCUGUUGGUCUGAAUAGGUCAGCGGCCAAGCGAAAGCAUUAAGCAUCCCACCUGGG
rnacentral:rRNA from 1 species